rnacentral:rRNA from 1 species
AUACGGAGGAUGCGAGCGUUAUCCGGAUUUAUUGGGUUUAAAGGGUGCGUAGGCGGACGAUUAAGUCAGCUGUGAAAUGCCCGCGCUUAACGCGGGAAGUGCAGUUGAUACUGGUUGUCUGGAGUGCCGUUGCCGUGGGGGGAAUGUGUAGUGUAGCGGUGAAAUGCAUAGAUAUUACACAGAACGCCGAUUGUGAAGACACCUCACGAAGCGGUAACUGACGCUGAGGCACGAAUGCGUGGGGAUCGAACAGGAUUAGAUACCCUGGUAGUCCGCACAGUAAACGAUGAAUACUUGUUUUCGGCGAUAUAAUGUCGGAGGCAAAGCGAAAGCGAUAAGUAUUCCACCUGGGGAGUACGCCGGCAACGGUGAAACUCAAAGGAAUUGACGGGG